rnacentral:lncRNA from 1 species
ACACAUACAGUUCCACAACAUUCUCUCUCGUCUGAUUAUACACACCAACAUAUACAGAUUUUCUUUGAAAAUCUUACAAAGGCUCCAUGAAAAUCUUACCUGUGAAGUAUAAUAUGUGCAUACACACACUUCACAACACAACCUCCACAUAUCAAACCUCUCGAUUACUACAUAAAGACAAUCAAAAGCAUAAAUCCUCACCAGUACCUCUCUCUCCCUCUCGUUCAGCUGGUUAAGACGACCAGAGCCGGAACCGGCACCGAUGCCGGUGGAUUUUCAGGCGAGACACCCCUGGUUCUCGAGAACACACGGUCAGCCACCGUGAUGGUGGCUGCGCACAGCUGUAGCGACGGACAAAGAUAGGGAGAUGAAGAGAGUGAGAAACAGAGCCGGCGCCGCCGCUCAAGACGACGACAGUGGAGGCGACGACGGUGGUUGUUAUUCUCCGGCAAGUAUCCUGGCGAAAUGAUGAUGAAAAUGAUGGACGGCACGGUCACCGGAGCGACGGACGAAGACGGGGGUAGUAACGAUGAUUUGAGUUUGGUUCGGGUUUCAGCUAUGUUUGGUUCGUGUUGGGUGUCUCGGCUUAGAGACUAGUCAACCAGUCAACCGCAGUCAAACGGUUCAGUGGGUUUCUGGGUAUGGUUCGACCCCUGUGCGGGUUCGUUUCGGGUCAGAUUAUAGCUCGGGUCAACAGCAGGUCAAUCGCGGUCAACAGUCAACGGUUCGGUUUCAGUUUCACUCCGGUCAGAUUUGGGUUUCGUUUCGACAGUCAAAGCCAGUCAAACAUGGUCAAAGGUAGUUAACAGGACGGCUCGGGUCAGCCUUAAUACUCUCGGUCAACUCAGUCUAACCCAGUUGACUCGGUCAAACCCGAGUCAACUCGGGUCAACAGCAGUCAACGCCCGGUCAACACGAAGGACGCGGAAUGCUAUAGUUGCACCCUAGCGAGUCACGUUCUUGGAACGACAUCACAGAAACACCUAAGCUAGCUAUGCACAGGAAUAUCCAGGUUGCAUUUUCAAUCUAUGGAACGGUUGGAAUAGGA